rnacentral:tRNA from 1 species
GAGCCUGACCGGAUUGACGAGAACUGCUAAUUACUCGCCACUGAAGUUCAACUCCUCAGCAGGUUCG